ensembl:lncRNA
UUUUUCUUCAGCCUUUCAGAACUUUAUUAGGUGGCGUUUGGGCAAAAGAGAAAACCCCUGAAACAGCCGCUCAGCUGUUCGGACGACUGGAAGAGAGAAGCAGCCUUUGUUGGCUGACGUUCUCUCACUGAGGAGAACCUACAGGAGAGAUCAUCCUCAUCUGGUGAGCACCUUGGGGUUUCCAAGCACGAGUGCUCUGGCCUACCAGAGUUCCACAUCUUCAGAAACCACCAAAAAGGCUCUUGCACAUAGUUUCCCCUGCUUCCUCUGACUCCUGGCCAAGCCUGGUGCUUCCAGGAGUCGCCUUGCAUGGAGUGGCACUGCAUGGAGUGGCAUGCCUCCUGUUUCCAGGGAUCUGUGUCUGCUAUUGUUUGGAAUUGCGAGGUCUGGCGCUGAACUCAGACAACAAACACCUGUAGCCCUUCCUGGUUCCCUGCCGCCUUCCACUGGCGUUCAUUCUGAUAAACUCCUUGCUCCAGCAUCCUUCUCUCCAGUUCUGCAUCUGGCACUACACAAGCUAAGGCAUCCAUGGCCUAAGCAUGGGCACAUGUAAAGCCUUGUCCUGGCUCUGGAAGACCUGCUGGGGACAGUCUCCUGCGCCAUGAAUUAACAAGUGUGAAGCUGCUUCUGUGACCUCGCAUCUGUUUACUCCAGUUUGGAAAGUCAUCCUGUUCCUGGGUCUCAUCCUCCUGGGCAGAAAACCAAAGGGCUCCAGGACACUCUCAGCUGCCCGAUGCCCCACCCGUGCUGAGGCCAGGACUGCGUGUACACACAGGUGUCAUCCACCCAUGGGUUCUACCUGGCCCCUCUCUCCCUCUUCUCCCCACAUCACUCAGUGUUCCUUCUGCCCUGGAAAUGGUGAUGAUACUCCAUGGGGUUCAAGGGCAUCCUCUGAAUGUGCUGUCUUUGGUUUAAAUGGGGCUUUGCUGUGUGUUACUGUUAGUAUGUGAGGUUUGAGCCAGCUUUCUCAUGGGUUCACACAACAAACAGUCCCCUGGAGCCUACUCUACUUGUUGCACGAGAAUGCUGGCUCUGGUACAUGGGGAUGCAUCAUCUGUGACAGAUGUCAGCUGCCCUCCUCACCCUGUAGGUCUGCCCUUGAGCAGUCAUCCAGCAGCCUAGCAGCAGGGAGCUCACAUCCUCAUAUUACACCUUCAGGCAGGUGGUGAGAGGAGGAGCUUUAUUGAUCAACUACUCCAUGCCAGGCCUGUGCCUUGCCUCCUUACAACAUUCUUGGGGGCUAAUUGUUACUAUCAUUCCCAAUCCACAGAUGAGGAAACCAAGGCUCCUACAGGUUGAGUGAUUUCUGAGGUCGCUUAGGGCUGGGGCUGAGGCUGGGAAGGUCUGACUCAGGGUCUUGCUUGUUCCCUGGCAUGUUCCAACCUCUCAGACACAGGACAUCCCAGAACCAUGGGUCUCCUGGUUUGCUGCCUUGCUGCACCUCAGCCAUUUAUCAACGGGCCUCUGUGUUGUCUUGGCACUGGGAACCCUACAAAUCCCUUGUUGUUAUGGAGGUUUCCUCCUAACAAGGAAGACAGAGACAGUAAACAGACAUGAGACGGUUUCAGGGGGCCCAGAGUGAAGGCUACCAUGCAGGGGAUGGUGGAGAGGCUCUGAGGAGGAGACUGUCUAUUGCUGUGUGACAAACGACACCAACAUUUAGAUCCUACAGCACCAAAUGUUUGUUGUCUUGGUCUCUGUGGGUCAGGAGACCAGGAGCAGCAAGGCUGGGUGGCUCUGACUCAGGGUUCUCAUGAGGUCACAGUCAGAAUGUCAGCUCGGGCCAUAUUGUCCCAGGGCUGGGAAAUCCACCUGUAAGCUCACGUGUGUGGCUGGUGACUGGUGAGGACCUAAUGUCUCACCACAUGGACCUCUCCACAGGGCCGCUCACAGGCGGGGCAGCUGGCUUCCCAGGGGGAAAGAAGGAGAUGGAGAUUAAGAUUGAGGUACACACACACACACACACACACUCACGCAUGCACCGCCUCUGCCUGCUUUCCUUCUGCACAGCUGUGAUGAAAUGGAAAACAGAACAAGGAAGAAGCACCCUCUCCCGCUGCUCCUGGACCAUCCUUCCUCACCAUCUGUGGCUUGCUUUCCUUCUGACUUCCUGAGAAUGGCUUUGGAGAGUCAUCCAGCUGACAGAGGGUUGUCUGCACCUUGUCCCUGUCCCCUGAGGCAAGGAGACAGCACAAGUUUCCGCUGGCCAUUCUGGUCUUCUGUCACCUGCCAGUACAGGGGUCAGUGUGGCAGGUACUGAUGGCCAAUUGAACUUGCUGGACAGGGAGUCCAAUGUCCUAGAACAUUUAGGGUUUACGUUUAGCCAGCUGGAACACACAUUGCUGGGAACUACUUGCUUUGGGUCUUAUUUGCUGCUGGCAAGAGCACAGGGGAGAUUGGGCUCUGCCAGGGGAGGCCAGGUGGUCCACCUGUGACAACAGGCCUGAAUGUUCAUGGAGAAAAGUGUGGGCUCUCUCCCCUUUUUUAAAAUAAU